UACAGAGGGGGCAAGCGUUGUUCGGAAUUACUGGGCGUAAAGGGCGCGUAGGCGGCCCGCUAAGUCGAACGUGAAAUCCCUCGGCUUAACCGGGGAACUGCGUCUGAUACUGGAUGGCUAGAGGUUGGGAGAGGGAUGCGGAAUUCCAGGUGUAGCGGUGAAAUGCGUAGAUAUCUGGAAGAACACCGGUGGCGAAGGCGGGUCUCUGGGCAGUAACUGACGCUGAGGAGCGAAAGCGUGGGGAGCGAACAGG
rnacentral:rRNA from 1 species